rnacentral:rRNA from 1 species
UACGGAGGGGGGCUAGCGUUGUUCGGAAUUACUGGGCGUAAAGCGCGCGUAGGCGGACUGGAAAGUUGGUGGUGAAAUCCCAGGGCUCAACCUUGGAACUGCCUUCAAAACUAUCAGUCUAGAGUUCGAGAGAGGUGAGUGGAAUUCCGAGUGUAGAGGUGAAAUUCGUAGAUAUUCGGAGGAACACCAGUGGCGAAGGCGGCUCACUGGCUCGAUACUGACGCUGAGGUGCGAAAGCGUGGGGAGCAAACAGG